rnacentral:rRNA from 1 species
UACGUAGGUGGCAAGCGUUUGUCCGGAUUUAUUGGGCGUAAAGCGCGCGCAGGCGGUCCUUUAAGUCUGAUGUGAAAUCUCGCGGCUCAACCGCGAGCGGUCAUUGGAAACUGGGGGACUUGAGUGCAGAAGAGGAGAGUGGAAUUCCUGGUGUAGCGGUGGAAUGCGCAGAUAUCAGGAGGAACACCAAUAGCGAAGGCAGCUCGCUGGACGUUACUGACACUGAGGCGCGAAAGCGUGGGGAGCGAACAGG